AGUACAUCAGGGGUGCGCACCGGGUGUCACCACACCUGGUGACGCCUCUGAUACAGGGGGCAGUGGCGCAUAUUACAUGUUAGAGAUGGAGACAGGUAGCUGUGUCUCCAUCUCAGAAAAAGUCAUGACCGCGAUCGCGGAGCGACAGCAGCAACAGAGAGCUCUGUAGCAGAUGUCUGGGGGGAGCUGCUGGCUGUGCAUACAGCUCCCUCCGUCCACAGGCCCACAGUGCAGCUGCUACCAGUCUGCCCUCAGCCCCAGCAUUUACUAGGAAGGAUGAGCCGGUGACAUUAGUGCAUAACGACAGUGAAGAUUGAGAUUUUGAAAACAAAGGAAUGGCAUACAGAAGUCACACAGUGAUUAUAUAAGUAAAUGCUGCCCCUUAGUGACUACUUGUGAAUUUGCACUACAGCAAGCAGAAAACUUGAGGAUCAGGGACAAACACAGGAUUUUCAGGCCACCUACCAUGUUUGGGACAUGUUUUAAAGAGUCCAGAUGCAGGUAAUCUAAAUAUAUAUACUCUAUGUAUCUCCCCAAGCUCUGGCACUCAGUGGGUUCAACGCAAUUACUGUGCCUGGUGCCCUCCACAUGUGAGCCUGCCCGGCUCCAUGAUACACACUUGCUCCAACGGCAGCACUCAAGACUCUCUCAUAAAAGAUCACAGGACACGGCUCUCCUUAGGCAACGUUUCAGCACUACCCGUCGCUUUUAUCAAGCCAUAUAUGUGGGCCACCGCUGAUUAUUACUGUGUUAUGCUGUUGGACCAAUAAACC